CAAAAGGCAGAGAGAGAAGCCCCCAGAGGAGGCCCAAGGAGGAUUUAUCAACUGCUGCCCGGAGCCAGAGGAACGAGGGAGUUUGACAGCUGCAAGUGGUUCUAAGGCGUACAGGCGUGAUACAACACAGAUGGAGAGGAGCAGACAACGCUGUCGUGUGCACAGAAGACAUCACACCACGUUGCACGGUUUCAGAAAUCUUGGAAGACCUCAGGAUGUAAAUCCAUCCAUCAAGCUGUGACCCGAAGCUGACCUUUGCAGAGAAUAGCCCAGCCUAAGAAGCAUUUCUGGCCGAGACACCUCACCAAGGAGUUUUGUCAAUGUUGGCCGGCCCAGGCCCAGCAACAACCACAACACAGCCAGUGUCUUAUCUCCUGCCCACCUCUUCCCCAGGAGCCAGAAGCAAGGAGAAGGAGAUACAGAUCUCUUUACCAGGAUUCCUGGUCAUUCCUCCUGACCCCAUCCAUGUCUGCAGAGCCAUGGGUGCCUGCCCAUCUCUGCCGUUCAUUAGUAAAUAGGACUCUCCCUGUCUUCACUUUUUAAAAGAUUUCACAUUCGGCCAUAUUGGAGGAGGGGCUUGCAGAACCAUCCCAGGGAAGCCAGCUAAUGCUAGAGAAGGCAGAGAAGGGAAAGUCAUUGUUGUCAACUAUACAGUCACUGGUGUGCUGUGUUUCAGGAUAGCUCCACACCCACGCCUAGGAGAGUAGCCCUGGUUAAGUCAAAUGGGGCCCACAAAGCAAAAGCAAAACAGAAAGACCCUGAUAGGUUAGGUCUUGGGUAGGGAUGAGGACUUGGUGGAAGGAAGCUAAAGGUGGAGAGGGGAGUGAAAUAAGGGGAAGGGGGUUAUGUAUGUGUGAGUAAGAUCAGACUGUGUGUGAUAUACAUCUAUGAAUUGUUGAAAGAUAAACUAAGAUUUUAAAAUGCCCUUUCAAGCUAGCAUUUCAAGAAAGGCACUGUGAGCUCCUGUAGAGUAGACUUCUACCCGGGACUGCCAAGUCUGGGUAACAUGGCAUAGCAGUGUGAGGAAAAAGAGGCUCAGGGCCUGAGCAGAGGGCUCACUAGACAGCUUCUCGCUGGCUCGGGGACAUGCCCAUCUCCGUGGGGCUUCCUUUUUUUGGAGACCACACAGGUUGCCAGUUGUGACAUCGCCCCAGUGCCAUGGAACAGGGAGCGGGGAUGGGCAGGCAUGUUGGGGCAAACAGUGAUGGAGGAUGGUUGAUAAAAUGACUAUUAGGCUUUAAGUUAAUGAAUCACAACUGCAAGAAAUCAUGAUAAUCCAGCAGGCAUUAGUGACAGAUUAGCUUCAAAGCCACCAUGAAAGUACCACAGUGCCUACCCAACGGCACGAUUAAUUCUCCCAGUGUAUAAUGGCUUGAUGGGGAACCAGGCACUAACAGAGUCUUGAAGGAAAGCCAUGAAGAAAUCCCAGGGCGCCAGGGGCACCAUUACCCUGCCUGGCCCACAUGGUUUCCACUCUGCUUGGAAACAGCUACACCCACCCAGACUCUGGGACAAGUGGCAGCAGAUCUGACUAGCCUCGGAGCCUGCUCGCUUGCUCCCUCCCAGGAGGCAACGGAUCCCAGGCCCUAGGAAGUUGAGUCACCAAUAAAACACCUCAUACAGCGAGUGCCCGCGCGCGCUGGCGAUUGAAGAGCCCGGUCCCAGUCACCUGACUGAAGGUUUAUUGUGAAGAGACCUAGAAAGAGUCUUGAGCCAGGAAACUCUACACCACCUUUGUGAGGUGAAGGCAGUCCAUGCAUGCCUACACCACCAGCUGCUCUCCCUACAAGGAUGCAAAUAUGUAUCUGUCACCAAGCUGUGCCCCCAGGGACAAUGCGCAUCUCUAUGCAUACUUCUGCAUUUGCCACUCUGGCUCUCUGCCCUUUAAAGAUAGGAAAAGGGAAGUAAGCGGCCUACAGACAGGCUAGUGCUGUGUAGACCAGGCCUACACACCCCUGUCUCUCCACUUCUCUAUUCAGCUCCCUUCAGCACUGUACCUCCUGCCUCACCUCACCAGAGAGGCUAGAUUGGGAUUCACUGAACACCACUUUCCCUGAGGAAGAUAAUACCUCAGUCUUGCUUCCUCGGCCUCCUGCUCCUGCCCCACAGCAGCAGACAAAACAGUAACGCAGAGGCAAGAGACCCAGCCUCCCUGCCUCUCACCACCAUACAGAGGACCCGUUCCCAUGGUCUAGCCUAGGGCACUUAACCUCACCUGCUUUCUGUCUCGCCUUUUGGUUGGGACAGAAGGAAUGUUGGAGGCAAUGCCAGCUUGAAUGCUGAACCCCUGAGAACUGAGCAUCCUGACCCCUUGAGAUCCCUCCCCAUCAGUCUUUCCAUGACCUUCACUAGCCAAAGCCUCUUUGCAAAGGGUGCCCAAACUCCAUUCCAAAGGAAGGAAACCCCGUCCGUGGCCUGCUCGGCUUCCCAUAAAUAUGGAGGCAAUUAACAGAAAGCCCAAGCCCAAGAGGAAUUCUUAGAGUCGUGUUCAUCUUCAUAAUGAUGAAGAAAACCCCUCAGGGGGCCUGAGUCACUGCUGAGGUAGUAGGCUGUUACUGAUCUGAUUAACUAGAACUCCCACAGAAACAUGCAGACCCCUCCCAAGCAGCCUUCCUCCCAACCUACACCACUCCAAGGGCUUCUGCCAUGGAGGUCCCCUGCCAGGCUAUCACUGGGCAUCAAAGAAGUCUUGGUCUUCUGUCAAAGCAUCAAUGGACUCCAAAUUUUCCAGACCUCUAUACUCAUUCUGAAUUCCUGAACCCAAGGCCAAUCACCAUUUCAUCAGUGAAGAGUGCCUUCUGCUGAGCAUCAUGGGAAAAGUGAAAGGGAUCUUUCAUCCCCGUGAAGCACUGGGUCCCUACAUGCCAUGAUCCAACAUCUGGCUGCAGCGUUGCAUGCUCUAAAUGGGUCUUCAGCUGGUGACUUCUUUUGUUAUGGCCCAGGCAUCUCUUGAAGCCCCAUUCUCUUGAGUUGACAACCCUAUGUGUGUCAAGGAGACCUUGACACAUUUAGUUACAAAGCCAUAAAAAAUGUCAGGAUUGGGACAGGCUUCCCAGCCAUGUCUCCCACCCUUCCCUAAACCUUGUCCCAUCUGCCUUCAGCUCCUCUUGAGGCAAAUAUAUAGCUUCUAUUUCAACAUGCUGUGCCCAGCGAAAGCUCAAUAAAUGUUUAUUGAUGGUGGUACCCAUGAUACAUUAACAGCCAAAGCUAUAAAAUUAAAGUUUCACACAAGGAGAGACCCCGGUGAGAAAGAAACUGCUGCAUAAAGUUGAAGAUUUCUCAAAGUGGCAAGUGCUCACAAAUAUAUGCAUACUGUGUCAAACUGAAGACUACAGUUCUCUACCCAGCCCACGCAGAGCCUCAGGAAACACCCUCCUGAGGAUACUCCUGCUUUAUGGGUGUCGUGUUCGGCUUCUCUGAGACCCACCAUCUCAGUCUGUCAGGCUCCAGAACACUCUAUCUUUGUUUCCUAGAAGGAACAGGGGCCAACAAAAUUCUUACCAUGGUGGAAACUGAGGGGCUAAGACAAGGUCCAACCACUGCUGGCUGCCCUGUUGCCUGAUCUCUGUAGGUUUAUGACCAAAACUAUGCAUGGAAAGAAAUCUUUUCUCUUUAUAUGUUGAUUGUCUGGAUAUUUGUUACAGUAACAGAAAGCCAACUUUCUGACACAAUGACUUACAUUUUGAAGCAAAAGCCAGGAAGUGUCCCCAUAAAAAAUGAAUGGAGAUACAAGAAGCCUAAGGCCUUGUGAACGCCAACAAGUGAUUACCAGUCAUCAGACAGUCCCUGCCUACCCCAAUGUGUUUAUAGAUAUGAAUUGCAGGUGUAAGAGACUCCAUAGUCCUGUUUUAGAACUGCUAGCAUUUCUGCUUAUCAGGACAACCCAAGAGUAGCAUUAAAGAUGGCUUAGCAUUGGUCAGUCUCAGCUCCUCAGACUCUUGGUGUAAAUUCAACAGGGAUGGGGAUGGAAGCAUGGAGUGCUAUAUCAGGGUAGGGGAAUAAAGAUGGAGUCUCUUUUAAACGAGCCCCAGAGUAGACUAGAGGUCAAUUAGGAGAGGACCCUGCAACUCUGGAAACCCAAGGGAGGACAGCUCAUGAGCUGGGGAGGUUUAUGAGCUAAAAGGAAACUUAGCUAGCUUAAAAGGAAAAAAUGGAGAUAGCCUUCAAACAGGCUAGGGGCUGCUGACAGCAUCAAACGGGUAAGAUUGUACAUGUGGCUCAGCUCCUGGAAGCCUCGUCCAUACCCGGAGACUCUUCCCCUGGAGGAAGCCAUUUUGAACCUGGCUUUGCUCAACCUAAAGCAUUCUCACACACUAGACAGCAAGGAUAGAGAAGGAAGGUUGGACCCAGAGCAGAAGCCCAAGAUGGAAUCUGGACCCUGCCCUACCUGUUCCCUGCUUUAGCCUUUGAGCCAUAGGUCUGCCUGCCUCUCCUAGUAAACCCCUGAGCUCUAGACUGUCCUGUGUGUUCCGACUCUGGUCCCCUGUGUUGGCCAGUUCUCACGAACCUCUUAUGUUGGUGAUUGACAAGCAACUUGAGCUAAGAGGACAGAGGGACAAUAAACAUUUGGUGGCAUUGCCUGGUGCCAGGCACUCUUCUUGUUGGUAUCCUCCCUCAGGAAGCUCACAGUGUGUCCACACACAGAGGGAGAACACCCACAGUCCACUUGGCAAGGCUCACUGGCCUCUUCCCAGCCUGAACUGGCUUCUGCGGCUGCUGAAUGAUGCUCGCAUUUGUGCUGUAUGUUCCUGCCCAGAUGGGUGUCUGAUCUUGUCCUGGCCAGUUUUUCCACAUAAGGGGACCUGGUACAGUUUUAUAGGAACCCAGUUGUUCCCUGGAGCCAGACUCUAAUGCUGCCCAGAUGCAGCAAAACAGAAGGGCCAUUCAAAAACAACCGAAACAUCAACACACUUUGAAAGCGGUCUGUUAGCACUUGUCAUGAGCACAAUAAAAAAUACAAUGGAACCAUCAGAAAGUAAGAGGUAUUCGGGCUUUAAGAACUUGGCUUUGAUGACUUAGAA